AUACGUAGGGGGCGAGCGUUGUCCGGAAUGAUUGGGCGUAAAGGGCGCGUAGGCGGCGCGGUAAGUCUGGAGUGAAAGUCCUGCUUCCAAGGUGGGAAUUGCUUUGGAUACUGCCGCGCUUGAGUGCAGGAGAGGUUAUCGGAAUUCCCGGUGUAGCGGUGAAAUGCGUAGAGAUCGGGAGGAACACCAGUGGCGAAGGCGGGUAACUGGACAGCAACUGACGCUGAGGCGCGAAAGUGUGGGGAGCAAACAGGAUUAGAUACCCUGGUAGUCCACACUGUAAACGAUGAAUGCUAGGUGUAAGAGGUAUCGACCCCUUUUGUGCCGGAGUCAACACAAUAAGCAUUCCGCCUGGGGAGUACGGCCGCAAGGUUGAAACUCAAAGGAAUUGACGGGG
rnacentral:rRNA from 1 species